rnacentral:rRNA from 1 species
UGAGUAACACGUAUGCAACCUGCCUGCCACAGCCGGAUAAUCGGGAGAAAUUCCGUCUAAUACGGCAUAAUGCAUCGACGGGACAUCCUGUUGGUGCCAAAGGUUAAUUCCGGUGGCGGAUGGGCAUGCGUCGCAUUAGUUAGUUGGCGGUGUAACGGACCACCAAGACGACGAUGCGUAGGGGUUCUGAGAGGAAGGUCCCCCACACUGGUACUGAGACGCGGACCAGACUCCUACGGAAGGCAGCAG